UCAUUAUAAGGUCAAACGGAGUGAUUCAAAAGCCUAACUUGACUGGAAUUUCACAAGGAAUCCAUUGAAGGCAUCAAAAGCGAGUUUCAGGAUCGUUUGGCACAAGAAACGAGGCAGAACAGCUGGGCGUUUUUGGCUAUUAAUGUUGUUGGAGUUUUUCUCAUCUUGAAAGUUUGGGUUUGGGAGAAUUCAAGGAUGUUUUUCAAGUUUCUUCUAUGGGACUUUCUUGAUCUCGAAGCUCAAGGAAAGGAAAGGCUAAGGUGUGAUUGUUGGUGAUAUUAUUGUCCGGCCUUCCAUAAUUCCAGGUUGGAUCUGCUUCUGCUUCUCGUGGCUGAUAGUUGCCCCGAGAGUUGCUUAGAGUCUACGGGGUGAGCACAAGACGUCUGCCGUCUUAAAGAUUCUUCUUAAUUAUGUCUUAUUUCCUAUUCCGAGACAUAUUCGGACUUGAUGUAUUAUUAAUAUUCGAGACUUAUAGAUUUUAGUUAGAUGCUCUUAUAUGACCAGACCAGAUACCGGGGCGAAUUUCAUUUACUUCCGCAUUUUCUUAUUUAUAUUAUAAUUGUGACACUUUCGCUAUUUUACUUCUUCCGUUAUUUUCUAUUAUUUGUGAAUGCUGAGUUAAGGGUCCGCCUACCGAGGUGGGAAAGAUAGGUGCCCACA